rnacentral:lncRNA from 1 species
CCCCGCCAGCACCAGCACCGUCACUGCCACCUCCACCACCUAGGCCCGCACCGUAUCCAGGACGGGGGAAGAAGUUUUUCUCCUCCUUAAAGGACCCCUUCUCGCCCAAAAGCACCCUAGAGUAGGCAGAGGAGCAAACUAGAGCACCGAGAAGCCCAAGAAGAAGCAACUUGGAAGCGAUCAUCUUCAAUGUGAAGCUGCGUAUUCAUAUUCUUUGAGAGAUCUCUU